rnacentral:tRNA from 1 species
GGCCCCGUAGCUCAAUUUGGUAGAGCAGUUGACUCUUAAUCAAUUGGUUGAAGGUUCAAGUCCUUCCGGGGUCACAA